UUGCGUAAAUUUGUUGGCAAUUUGUUUUCUGAUGAGCAUUAACUUUCGCCCCUAUCUGAAAUUGAAACUUCUCAUGUUGAAUGCGAGAUUGGUCUUACUGAAAAUAAAUAAAAUUAUAAGCUCAAGAAGCUUUUUUGUAUUUUACUAAUUAAAACUUUCAUAAAUAUUUGCAGUUUGACUGAAUGACAACAAUGAACUCAUUCCCGUGAGCAGCAAGCUAUUUAAGAUUGCUGGACAAAGUUAUUAAAUAACAAGGAUGGGGAUUUAAUUUAAAAAAAAAAGAUUAUCACAUCAUUUCUUCGUUAAGGAAUCCGAUUCCUAUUGAAAAGGUAAAUAUUAAUAUAAGCACUGUUCUUGAAACUUUUGUUCCGAAUUGAAAAAUUAUUUAUUUUGCUUUAAAACUAUUUUUAAAAUCUAAUAAUCUUGGUAAAAUGAUGAAAAGGAAAAGCUGAAUUAUGUGGCAUGAUUUUCACAUUAACCGCAACAAAAUCCUACUCCAAUAGGUCCUACUGACAAUUUCCACAAUAAAUAAUCCUUUUUGUCUAAAAAUAAUCCAACAAAUGACUAACAAUUGACCUUCUUUUGCAUUUUUAGUUCACGAAGCAUGUUAUUGAUAUAUUUACCAAGGUAAAUAUAAAAGCUCUUUUCAAAAGUUUCUAUUGAAAAUGAUGUAAAAAGAAAACUGAAUUAUGUGGCAUGAUUUUCACAUUAACCGCAACAAAUCCUACUCCAAUAGGUCCUACUGAACAUUUUCACAAGAAACAAAAUGUUAUUUUUCUCCGUGAACCAAUUCUAAUUCAAGUUUUCCUUACAUUUUCAGUUGCUGGCGUCAUCCCCAUUCAUCAUAUUAUGGCUUACUAGUUCUAUUGAAAACAUAUUUUUUCCAGGUACAGUACUGUCCAAAACACUGCUUUCUAUUUUUUUAUUUACUUUGAAGCGAAAAUAAAUGUAAAUAAAGAACA